rnacentral:rRNA from 1 species
CUGGCCUGCUCACUGAUAAAGUUUUAAAUAGCCGCGGUAUUUUGACCGUGCAAAGGUAGCAUAAUCAUUAGUCUCUUAAUUAGAGGCUUGAAUGAACGGUUUGACGAGAAAUCAUCUGUCUCUUAUUAAAUUCUAGAAUUUAACUUUUAAGUAAAAAGGCUUAAAUUUUUCUUUAAGACGAGAAGACCCUAUAGAGCUUAACAUUUAAUUUUUAUAUAAUUUUUAGUUAAUUUUUAUAUAUUUAAAGGUAAUGUUUGGUUGGGGUGACAUGAAGAAUAAAUAAACUCUUCAUAAUUAAAUCAUUAAUUUAUGUUUGUUAUGAUCCAUAAUUUAUGAUCAUAAGAUUUAGUUACCUUAGGGAUAACAGCGUAAUUGUUUUUGAGAGCUCAUAUUGACAAAACAGAUUGCGACCUCGAUGUUGGAUUAAGAAUAAAUUUUGGGUGCAGUAGCCCAAUAAUUAGGUCUGU